ensembl:lncRNA
GUUCCUGGAAAUUCCUUCCUUUUGGAGUCUUUAUGCAAGCCUAGAUCUUUGGAUACAGAACGUACUCAACAUCUUUAGAUUUCUUCCUUGAGACCACAGAGUGACUGCAAAAACUCACCAACAACCACAAGUUUUUUAAAAUAUCACUGGUCUUCUGACAAGAGCUCUGGCCAGCUCCAAGUCCUCCACAGGGAACAGUAAAGAUCCUGGAGGCAAAGAUACACAAAAUUCUCCAUCUACUUGCAGACGAAAGCUCAACGAGGAUAGACUAUAAACAGUGCAGAAGAAAUCUUUAAAGGAUCUAGCUGCUAAUGCUUAGCAUGCCUUUGCUCAGCAUGCAAAAAGGGAAAUCUGGGGCAAAGCUGGGAACACUUAUGGGACAGAGCAGAGGGUGUACACGCAGUAUCAGCACAAUCCCUGCCAAAACUCAUGUCUGUAUUCUCCAUAAGCAAGCAGUGGAGUUCCCGAGGAAAAAUGAGUAAGAAUACCUAAAUAUCUAUUUGAGAAAUAGCUACCCCAGUUUUAACUGUAGCUUUUCGAAACAUCCAGCAUCAAAUAGACAAGCAGCCUCAGGGGUUUCAGAAUGAGUAUUUGAAUGUGUGAUAAGGUUGCAAAUUAUCUGUAAACAUUGCCUCAACUUUCACGUUUGUUAGCCUUAGUUAUUGGUGAUGCUUUUUGUGUACUGGCAUAGAAAAAAAGCAGACUAGAGAGACCCAAAAGAUGAGUCUCAUCUCUCAUCUGUCAAGAGAGAGAGUGUACGUAGCAAAAUGACCAGAGACUGGAUCAGUUCCCAGCAAACUAAGAAUGUAUAUUCAUUAUGCUUGUAAUAAUGAUGGUAUGUUUCAUAUCUUACACUCAAGCAAUUGUAUUUCCAGUUUCAUGGAGCAAAAACUGCAGUCGCUAAGUUUUAACUUUUAAGUAGUGGAUUUAAUUGACACAGCUUGAAAAAUAUAUUAAUGGCUAUUCAUUAGUAGGUAUUGUCUCUUCCCUUAUCCUGCAGGAUUAUUUUUAAUUUAAAGUAGUUUCCUGCUUUGUGCAUGGAAUUAUUGACAAAAAUAUGUCUUUCUUCAUCAAAUGAUUAGCUAAAUCAUCCUUUUAUUUAUAAGCAGUGCUGUGUCCCUGUGCCCUAAAUCUUGCUAGUUGGAGAAGUGGGAGGGAAAGCAAUUUAAUUAAGUUAACUUUAUUGACCCGCUGGAGCUGUUGUUUAAUAGCAUGGCUCCCUGGAGUGCAGUGCAGGUAAAUUGAAUGAAUGCCACAGAAUAUCACUUCCCUGCAUUGCAUAUUUCAAACCUUUGCCAGGCAGUUUGGGAUGAGCAACCAAUCAGGAAAAAGAGUUUUACACCCUUGCCGGCUUGGAUGGCAUUUCCCAUUAUGCUCAGAACAAUAUGCAGAGCGUUACCAACUCAUCCCUGUGAGUAUCUCAAGAGGAAUAAUUCCGCGACUGUGUGUUGUAUUCAGCUGCUGUGCUCAGAAGACAACUCUCUGGAUUGGCUCUUCAGCCAUGUAUCAAAAAAUACCUUUUUGCAAAGGAGGAAAAAUAGCAGGAGAGCACUGUGAGUAAAUUAUUUCAUAUUAAAACCUAAACAUCCUCAGUUUGCAUGAGAAAGCGGAGUCCAGAAGGAUGAUGAGAGAGAUCUUCUAGAGCUUUGCUUGUCAUUAAAUACUUG